AACCCGCCUCGCGUGAAGUCGGAAUCGCUAGUAAUCGCGGAUCAGCAUGCCGCGGUGAAUACGUUCCCGGGCCUUGUACACACCGCCCGUCACACCAUGAGAGUCGGGAACACCCGAAGUCCGUAGCCUAACAGCAAUGAGGGCGCGGCCGAAGGUGGGUUCGAUAAUUGGGGUGAAGUCGUAACAAGGUACC
rnacentral:rRNA from 1 species